rnacentral:rRNA from 1 species
CAGUCGCCGCGGGAAUACGGAGGGUGCAAGCGUUACUCGGAAUCACUGGGCGUAAAGGACGCGUAGGCGGAUUAUCAAGUCUCUUGUGAAAUCUAACGGCUUAACCGUUAAACUGCUUGGGAAACUGAUAAUCUAGAGUAAGGGAGAGGCAGAUGGAAUUCUUGGUGUAGGGGUAAAAUCCGUAGAUAUCAAGAAGAAUACCUAUUGCGAAGGCGAUCUGCUGGAACUUAACUGACGCUAACGCGUGAAAGCGUGGGGAGCAAACAGGAUUAGAGACCCCGGUAGUCCCUGUCUCUUAUAC